UACGUAGGGGGCGAGCGUUAUCCGGAUUCAUUGGGCGUAAAGCGCGCGUAGGCGGCCCGCCCGGUCGGGAGUCAAAUCCGGGGGCUCAACCCCCGCACGCUCCCGAUACCGGCGGGCUUGAGUCUGGUAGGGGAGGGCGGAACUCCAGGUGUAGCGGUGGAAUGCGCAGAUAUCUGGAGGAACACCGGUGGCGAAGGCGGCCCUCUGGGCCACGACUGACGCUGAGGCGCGAAAGCUAGGGGAGC
rnacentral:rRNA from 1 species